AAUACGACUCUCGGCAACGGAUAUCUCGGCUCUCGCAUCGAUGAAGAACGUAGCGAAAUGCGAUACUUGGUGUGAAUUGCAGAAUCCCGUGAGCCAUCGAGUCUUUGAACGCAAGUUGCGCCCGAGGCCUUUAGGUCGAGGGC
rnacentral:rRNA from 1 species